UACAGAGGGGGCAAGCGUUGUUCGGAAUUACUGGGCGUAAAGGGCGCGUAGGCGGCCUUCUAAGUCGAACGUGAAAUCCCCGGGCUCAACCCGGGAACUGCGUCCGAUACUGGAAGGCUUGAAUCCGGGAGAGGGAUGCGGAAUUCCUGGUGUAGCGGUGAAAUGCGCAGAUAUCAGGAGGAACACCGGUGGCGAAGGCGGGUCUCUGGGCCGAAAUUGACGCUGAGGAGCGAAAGCGUGGGGAGCAAACAGG
rnacentral:rRNA from 1 species